UUUAUAUACCGCAUUGGCCAAGUUUCUCCUAACGUCUUCAGGUACCAAUUCAAGAACCGGGGGGAGAACAAAGCUUAUGUUCAUCUCUAGCUGACCUCUGAGCCUUGUGUGCUUUCCUCUCCGGUCUGGGUACAAUGCUCCUUUGACUCCCAAACUGAAGUCAGACGGUUGCAUCGCUCGGUCAAGCCCUUUAAGUUGCCAUCUCGUCUGAAAAGAAGCAUUUAAGAGUUUGAGUCAUGGAAGAUGAAGAAACGAAGAGAGAGAAAAGUUAUUACCAUGUUGAGCUCAACAACUUUGGUUAUGUCUAAAGGUACGUCUGCCGGGUAAUCCUGACCGUUGGAUUUGCAACUUAAACGCAUAUCGACCACAGGCCACACAGUGAGGAAGAGGAAAUUAAUUGGUAACAUCUGAAUCCUCCACUCUUCCUGCAAAAAUUCAAUUUAUCCAAGUAGACUUAAAAUAGUGAAAAAGGGGGCGUUCCGAGAAUUGAACUCGGGACCUCUCGCACCCUAAGCGAGAAUCAUACCACUAGACCAAACGCCCGUUUUGAACUUCAUUUAUAUAUAACUAUUGUUAAGUCAUAUUAGUUGACGUACCUCGUUAAGCUUAUGGCUUCUGGGUUUGUCAGGGAACAUGGCUUCGAAAACUCUCGAUUUAUCCUCUAAAUAGUCAUCGAACAACGC